CCCAGCAGCCAUAUCACCCUGCAACUAAUAACUGGCAACCCACUGAAGCUAAGCAGGUGUGAGUCUGGCCAGUACCUAGAUGGGAGACCUCCUGGGAAAGCUAAGUUUGCUGCUGGAA
rnacentral:rRNA from 1 species